rnacentral:rRNA from 1 species
UACGGAGGAUGCGAGCGUUAUCCGGAUUUAUUGGGUUUAAAGGGUGCGUAGGCGGUCCGUUAAGUCAGCGGUAAAAUUGCGGGGCUCAACCUCUUCCCGCCGUUGAAACUGGUGGUCUUGAGUGGAUGAGAAGUACGCGGAAUGCGUGGUGUAGCGGUGAAAUGCAUAGAUAUCACGCAGAACUCCGAUUGCGAAGGCAGCGUACCGGCAUCCAACUGACGCUGAGGCACGAAAGCGUGGGGAUCAAACAGG